rnacentral:rRNA from 1 species
AUUGAACGCUGGCGGCAGGCCUAACACAUGCAAGUCGAGCGGAUGAAGGGAGCUUGCUCCUGGAUUCAGCGGCGGACGGGUGAGUAAUGCCUAGGAAUCUGCCUGGUAGUGGGGGAUAACGUCCGGAAACGGGCGCUAAUACCGCAUACGUCCUGAGGGAGAAAGUGGGGGAUCUUCGGACCUCACGCUAUCAGAUGAGCCUAGGUCGGAUUAGCUAGUUGGUGGGGUAAAGGCCUACCAAGGCGACGAUCCGUAACUGGUCUGAGAGGAUGAUCAGUCACACUGGAACUGAGACACGGUCCAGACUCCUACGGGAGGCAGCAGUGGGGAAUAUUGGACAAUGGGCGAAAGCCUGAUCCAGCCGUGCCGCGUGUGUGAAGAAGGUCUUCGGAUUGUAAAGCACUUUAAGUUGGGAGGAAGGGCGGUAAGUUAAUACCUUGCUGUUUUGACGUUACCAACAGAAUAAGCACCGGCUAACUUCGUG